rnacentral:rRNA from 1 species
AUUUAUUUAUUUUAUUUAUUUUUUUAUUAGUUAAAUUUAUUAAAAAUAAUUAUUUUUAGGGAUGUUUUAGUAUUUUUUAAAGAAAAAAUAAUUUUUAUGAGAGUGGAUUAGUAUUGUGAAAGAAGAUUGAAAUAUAUUGAAAAAUUGUUGUUGAAGAAGAAGAAUUUAUUUUUUGUACCUUGUGUAUCAGGGUUUAUUAAAUAAAAAUGAUGGAUGUUGGUUUUCUCGAUUCCAAGAGAGUUAAUAUCUUAAGUAGGUUAAUGUGGUAAAGUUAUUUAUGAUAGGGUGUUAGAAAUGAAAUGUUAUUCGUUCUUGGAGGUAUCUAGUUUUUUAAGAAAUAAAUUUAAUUUAGGAUUAUUUUUGUUAUUUGGUUGUUUGGUUAGUUGAAUGAUAGAUUUAAUCUAAUAUUCUGUGGGAUAAGCUAUGGAAUAAAUUGUUAAAAAUUAAUUAAUUGAUUAAUAAAUGUAGGCUUAGAAAUAGUUGACAUUAAAGGAAAUGUUAUAAUUCAUUUUGGUUGAUUAAUAUUUAGUUAGAUUUUAAGUUUAUAUUAAAAUGUUUAUUUUAAUUUUAAAUGUGAAGGAAUAAUGAUAAAAUUAGUAUAUGUGUUUGUGAAAAUGAAGAGUGAUGAUAAGUUUUUGUAAGGAAUUCGGCAAAGUGAGUAUCCGCCUGUUUAACAAAAACAUGUCCUUUUGAUUAAAUAUAAGGUCUGACCUGCCCACUGAUGAUUUUAUUAAAUGGCCGCAGUAUAUUAACUGUGCAAAGGUAGCAUAAUCAUUAGUCUUUUAAUUGAAGGCUGGUAUGAAUGGUUGGACGAGAUAUAAGCUGUUUCAUGAGAAUUUAAUUUAGAAUUUUAUUUUUCAGUAAAAAAGCUGAAAUGGAUUUUAAAGACGAGAAGACCCUAUAAAUCUUUAUAAUUAAUUUGUUGUGAUUAUAUAGAUUAUUUGUGUUGCAAUAAAUGAUAUUAUUUUGUUGGGGUGAUAUUAAAAUUUAAUGAACUUUUAUUGUUGGGUACAUUAAUUAAUGAUUAAUUGAUCCGUUAAUAGCGAUUAUAAAAUUAAGUUACUUUAGGGAUAACAGCGUAAUUUUUUUGGAGAGUUCUUAUCGAUAAAAGGGAUUGCGACCUCGAUGUUGGAUUAAGAGAUAGGUUUAGGUGUAGCAGCUUAGAUUUUAAGUCUGUUCGACUUUUAAAUUCUUACAUGAUCUGAGUUCAAACCGGCGUAAGCCAGGUUGGUUUCUAUCUUUAAGUAAUUGGAAUAUUUUAGUACGAAAGGACCAAAUAUUUGAUAUAUAAAUAUUUUUUGUUUGAAUGUAAAUAAUUA